AGUCUUUCUGGAGAUCUUUAUGUUCUUGAGGCCUUCUGAGGAUAAAUACAGUAACUUCCACUUCAUUUGGCAGGAGCCAGUAUCUGUCAACAACAACAACAAAAGUCCUGCUGGCAACAAACAGUGUCUUGAGAUGCAGUAGUUAUGAGUACCGUUCUUAUGCUGCUGAGUAGGUUUCUGUAUGUAUUCCAAGAAUAUCCAGCUUCAAUGUGAUCUACUGUUCAUAUCCUAAGGCAGUUCUACGUUGCUGUCAAACUUCUUCAAACGUUUCUCCAAAUGAAGUUAAACUACGACAAUAAAUCAGAUUAUGCUAUUCUGAAUGGGCAGAGGUACCUAUGCUGAUAGACCUGACUACCUGAAAGAAACCAGAGGAUUUAACUGGGGAUGGAACGAUAGCCUUGGAGGAAUUUAUAAUUUUCAAAACAAACUUAGAAAAUUUUCUGCCUUCUUAAAUGAAAUUUCUUAACAUUUUAUUUCUGGAUUUAGGCAGGGUCUUGGUCCAUUCUUCUCCAAUAUUUCUCUGUUGUUCAUGAACUGUAAAAUAUGUUUUGCUCCAUUGGGUGAAAUAUUUUGGAAAGAAACAUUCAGGAAAGAGACUGGGUACUGUUUUGUAUGGUUACAGAGCUCUGAAAUGCUAGAACUCAUAUAUGACACUGAACAUUUCUGAAGGAAUCCGUAUAUUUUCAGAUCGACCUUUUUCUUGAGAUCUAUUCUCUAACACCACAGAAAGAUAAUACAUAGUCUGCUGUAGUACGGUCUGAUGCAUAGGCACAACUGAUCCAGAAAAAGGGCUUCCCACAUUCAACUUUGAUGGAACCUAGGUCUGAGGAUACCUGUGUUCCCAGGAAGCAAGUUUCUGCGGUGGCCAAUUUUUUUUCCUCUAGGACAUACACAAGCAUCAAGACUUGAAAAUAAAAGUUUCUUUUUACCAGUUCAUCUCUACGUGUCUUGCCUUUGGAGUUGCUCCAAUAAUGAAGUUUCUUAAACCAUUUGCCAGGUAAACUCUCCAACAGAAAUACAGUGAAGAGAAUAUUACAGCAGCCUCUGCAACUCUUUUUAUGGCUUAAAAACUGAUACGAGGAACAACAUAUGCAAGUUCAAAGCUCUCAGUCUUUUUUGGAACAGCGUAUGGACAGUUGGUCUCCUGCCACCAAAGGAACUGCCAUUAUCACUGGGUUAUUAGGUUAUUUGGUAGACAGAGGAAGAGAGAUCUCUUAAGCAGUAAAACAUUUCUCUUCAACACAAAAAAGAAUAUAUGGAUAUAGAUGAAUACUGCAUGCUUAAUAACAUAAUAACUGCAUAAUUAAAACUCAGAUUUACUCCCAGUGUGCUAAAAUUAAAUUCAGACUCUCAAAAGCUCUCUUGCAGUUAACAGCAAGAUCACAGAGUAAAAAAAGAAUAUCCUUCCAGAGUUAGUUAUAUUGUAAAAGAUGAAGUUGGAGGUGGCUAUGUAUAGCAAUCAGAUGCCAAAAAUUAGAUUUGAUAAUUUACAUAAUUUACAUAAUAAUCUAAAUGGCCUUGGAUCCUAUCAUUGCUCUAGUUAAAAACUAAGUAUGCUACACAAAACAAAAGCACUUUGACAAGGCAGACUAAGUUAGCCUCAGUUUAGAAUGCUAUACAUUCUGUUUCCUGCAUGUUUUCUCAGAAGUUUGAAAUGCUAGGGUUAACUUCUCCCAGGUUCCCAGGGAAGGAUGCUCCACUAGUUUAUCUAGGUAUCAAGAGAUUGCUGUAAUAGCUUGCAUGAAGAGAGAAGCUGGCACAUUAUCUUUUUUAGGAAUUUUGCUUUGUUUGGAUGUCUACACAUAUGAAUGUUUUAGUACUGUGAAUGCAGAGUGAUGAGGUGCAACCAUGCAAUUCUCUGACAUGUUCAGUUGUCUUGCUCAGUGAACAUGUGAACUGUGCUCUUAGGCACAGCUCUUUCUCCAGCUCUCUCUCCCUUUCUCCUUAGACUGAAUAAGGAAAUAUCCAACUGCUUGAUGUAAUGCAGCAGGGUGUACAGCAGUAGAACAGGCACUGCUUCCUGCAUAGCUAAGACCCAAUGAGGCUUCUGCCCUAAAUCACUGCCUGGUGAGGUGCCCACCUUUGGCCACUGAUUACACAGGGAGUUCAGGGUUUGCAUUACUUUACAAAUAUAACAGGCAACGGACUGAUGACUGAAAUUACAGCAAAGUGAAUAGCUUGCUUUUCUCUCUUUAAGCCUAUGUCUACUUGUGGAUGUAACUCUUUGGUCUACACAUAUAUAUUUUUUUUUCAAACAAUGGCUGAAAGUUUGAUGCGGUACUUGUAGGAAAUACCAAUCUUGGUAUUUAAAAUCAAUCCACACCUAAUUUUCUAUUCUUGACCAAAAAAGGCAAAAUUACUCUGCUGAAAACUAGUAUAUAAAACUAGCCAAGGUUUUCAAAGAUUAUUAAUAUUUGUUCAUUUGUAGGGAAAUCAAGAACUGAUGUGAAGAUAUUUUUGCCAAGUGACUUGCUUAUUGCCACUCAUUUACAGAUGACUCCCUGUUAAAUGUUAGUCAAGGAAAUCCUUGCACUCUUGUGACAAUAUCAAAAUAUUUUUAUAUACAAUUCUACAUAUGAUUUGCAUCCUCUGUCUAUCUCGUGUUCUGUUUUGGCUAUAUACAAUAUAUUAAAUGUAUAAAUUAGAAAGUGACUUUCUAGUUUAGUAUAUGCAUUGGAAUCCUAAGAAUACACUUCUGUGUCCACUUUUCAGCUGGUAUAAACUGGGAUGGUACUACUAAGACUCAACUGUCCCUCUUACUUGUAAUCCAUUAAUCAAAAAUAUUUUCAGCCCGUAAUCCAUGUUUAGAGAGAACAGUACAUAAGCUCUAGCGUUUUCCUGUGACUGUAGAUAAAUAAUAUAUAACAGGAUAAAUGCAGGGAAUUCCCAGAGUAAAACUUUCAUGGACAACUUAAUCAUCUUAUUUAGAUAUUUUACUGCAAUUUUCAAAGCUCCUCCUAGUAUGUAUCGUUAGUUUACAGUACGUGGAGCUGUUAAAAGUUACUGUAAUAUGUUUUCCCUCAUGGAGGUACAAAAUCCUGUCUUUCAAAAGGAUCUCACCAGUCAAGACAUUAUUUAUUUUGAGGUAACUACCAAAAAUUAAUUUAACCAUGUCUCCAUAUCAAAAUUGCAUGACCUUCAAAAUACUCUGGCAGACCAGAAAUCCAUAACCAGAACACACUCCCUGCACAACACACCAAUUUGGAUUAACUGCAUUAACAAACUUAAUUUAGAAGGAUUUGGGAAUGUUUUUACAGGGUUUAGGAAGGAUUUCAUUUGGAUUACAUGAUGAGUAACUUUGGGUGUGCUUAACCAUUCACAUUAACUCUCUAGGCAUGAAACAGAUCAACCAUCCACCGUCCACUGCUUAUUAGUUCUCAUACAAAACUUUGUCACCAUAAAUGGUGAUAAAUGGUCUUUGUAGUUCACUGUACUAUUUAACUAGCCAGAAGAAAAAACUGUGUCCUUCUCAUUAUUGGGUUUAGAAGAGCAGAGAGUUUGUCUUCUGCAUAUUUCUGUUCUCUUGUGUUCCAUUCAGAGAAACUGAACUUUAGCAUGGCGUAAAAUUACAUUCCAUUUGAAUUAGAUUAUUUUUUCCAUACAGUAAUACUCCUUGCCACCAUCUUUUUUUUUUUUUUCCAAAACUUUGUUAAUUGCAAGCUUAACAAAUGUAUUUAAACUGUGUACCAGCGUUCUAAAGAUAAUAUGUUAAUCCAAGGGAGAAAAUGCACAUAAAAAGUUGGAGCAUUUGGAGCUCUACUCUUGCAAACUGGUCAUAUUGAUUUUAUAUUGAAUGUCCUGCAAUGCAAACAAGUACAGUAAGACAGAGAAUCAGUGCUUGCAUGUAAGUUCUGGAAAAUGGAAACAAACAAAUAAAAGGAUAUAUAUAUGCUUUUCGUAAUACUAGGAAAACUGAUUUUUUUCAAAUAAAUGUACUUUUUAAAUU
ensembl:lncRNA